rnacentral:rRNA from 1 species
AUUGAACGCUGGCGGCAGGCCUAACACAUGCAAGUCGGGCGGAUGAAGGGAGCUUGCUCCUGGAUUCAGCGGCGGACGGGUGAGUAAUGCCUAGGAAUCUGCCUGGUAGUGGGGGAUAACGUCCGGAAACGGGCGCUAAUACCGCAUACGUCCUGAGGGAGAAAGUGGGGGAUCUUCGGACCUCACGCUAUCAGAUGAGCCUAGGUCGGAUUAGCUAGUUGGUGGGGUAAAGGCCUACCAAGGCGACGAUCCGUAACUGGUCUGAGAGGAUGAUCAGUCACACUGGAACUGAGACACGGUCCAGACUCCUACGGGAGGCAGCAGUGGGGAAUAUUGGACAAUGGGCGAAAACCUGAUCCAGCCAUGCCACGUGUGUGAAGAAAGUCUUCGGAUUGUAAAGCACUUUAAGUUGGGAGGAAGGGCAGUAAGUUAAUACCUUGCUGUUUUGACGUUACCAACAGAAUAAGCACCGGCUAACUUCGUG